GACGUAGGAUGCAAGCGUUGUCCGGAAUUAUUGGGCGUAAAGAGCUCGUAGGCGGCUUGUCGCGUCGACUGUGAAAACCCGCGGCUCAACCGCGGGCCUGCAUUCGAUACGGGCAGGCUAGAGUUCGGUAGGGGAGACUGGAAUUCCUGGUGUAGCGGUGAAAUGCGCAGAUAUCAGGAGGAACACCAGUGGCGAAGGCGGCUCACUGGCCCGGUACUGACGCUGAGGUGCGAAAGCGUGGGGAGCAAACAGG
rnacentral:rRNA from 1 species